CUUACACAUGCAAGUCGAACGGAAAGGCCCUUCGGGGUACUCGAGUGGCGAACGGGUGAGUAACACGUGGGUGAUCUGCCCUGCACUUUGGGAUAAGCCUGGGAAACUGGGUCUAAUACCGAAUACACCUCGCUGGCCGCAUGGUCUGGUGGGGGAAAGCUUUUGCGGUGUGGGAUGGGCCCGCGGCCUAUCAGCUUGUUGGUGGGGUGAUGGCCUACCAAGGCGACGACGGGUAGCCGGCCUGAGAGGGUGACCGGCCACACUGGGACUGAGAUACGGCCCAGACUCCUACGGGAGGCAGCAGUGGGGAAUAUUGCACAAUGGGCGCAAGCCUGAUGCAGCGACGCCGCGUGGGGGAUGACGGCCUUCGGGUUGUAAACCCCUUUCAGCACAGACAAGCGCAGUGACGGUAUGUGCAGAAAAGGACCGGCCAACUACUGCCA
rnacentral:rRNA from 1 species